UUUUGUCUAUGUAAAUUAACAUUUUAUAACUAGAGGCAACACUACUGUGUAUGUUAUUUGUAAUAAUUUAAUACAUAAAAUAAAUAUGACGUAAUUUUUAAAGCACAAUCAAUAUAUUAUUGUUAAAAGAACUAUAAAGAUAAAAAACACCAAUAAUGUACAAUGGAGUACGUAUUGUUUAUAAGUCAAGCUGUCAAAAUUCCAUACAAUGAAAAACUACAUUAGAAAAUAUUUACUUACGGCAAAUAAAUGGUUUGCGACAAUUGCUAAGCCAAUUGACACAGAAGGUGUUACAAUAUUACUUCUAUUUGCAUCAUCACAAACUGAAUGAAUAACCAAAAUUAAUAUGAAGGUAAUUGCAGCUUCAACUGUAAAAGCUAUCAUGGGAUCGAGAUCUGUACUUGUUUCACCAAGACUUUUCGGUGUUCUAA